rnacentral:rRNA from 1 species
GACGAACGCUGGCGGCGUGCUUAACACAUGCAAGUCGAACGGAAAGGCCCUGCUUUUGUGGGGUGCUCGAGUGGCGAACGGGUGAGUAACACGUGAGUAACCUACCCUUGACUUUGGGAUAACUUCAGGAAACUGGGGCUAAUACCGGAUAGGAGCUCCUGCUGCAUGGUGGGGGUUGGAAAGUUUCGGCGGUUGGGGAUGGACUCGCGGCUUAUCAGCUUGUUGGUGGGGUAGUGGCUUACCAAGGCUUUGACGGGUAACCGGCCUGAGAGGGUGACCGGCCACAUUGGGACUGAGAUACGGCCCAGACUCCUACGGGAGGCAGCAGUGGGGAAUAUUGCACAAUGGGCGGAAGCCUGAUGCAGCAACGCCGCGUGCGGGAUGACGGCCUUCGGGUUGUAAACCGCUUUCGCCUGUGACGAAGCGUGAGUGACGGUAAUGGGUAAAGAAGCACCGGCUAACUACGUG